AAUAGAUACCCUGGUAGUCCACGCCGUAAACGAUGAGUGCUAGGUGUUAGGGGGGUCCAACCCCUUAGUGCUGAAGUUAACACAUUAAGCACUCCGCCUGGGGAGUACGACCGCAAGGUUGAAACUCAAAGGAAUUGACGGGGGCCCGCACAAGCAGUGGAGCAUGUGGUUUAAUUCGAAGCAACGCGAAGAACCUUACCAGGUCUUGACGUCCUCUGACAACCCUAGAGAUAGGGCGUUCCCCUUCGGGGGACAGAGUGACAGGUGGUGCAUGGUUGUCGCCAGCUCGUGUCGUGAGAUGUUGGGUUAAGUCCCGCAACGAGCGCAACCCUUGAUGUUAGUUGCCAGCAUUCAGUUGGGCACUCUAACGUGACUGCCGGUGACAAACCGGAGGAAGGUGGGGAUGACGUCAAAUCAUCAUGCCCCUUAUGACCUGGGCUACACACGUGCUACAAUGGGCGGUACAAAGGGCAGCGAAACCGCGAGGUGGAGCCAAUCCCAUAAAGCCGCUCUCAGUUCGGAUUGCAGGCUGCAACUCG
rnacentral:rRNA from 1 species